rnacentral:rRNA from 1 species
UGGGGAAUCUUGCACAAUGGGCGGAAGCCUGAUGCAGCGACGCCGCGUGGGGGAUGACGGCCUUCGGGUUGUAAACUCCUUUCGCCAGGGACGAAGCCGUGAGGUGACGGUACCUGGAUAAGAAGCACCGGCUAACUACGUGCCAGCAGCCGCGGUAAUACGUAGGGUGCGAGCGUUGUCCGGAAUUACUGGGCGUAAAGAGCUCGUAGGUGGUUUGUCGCGUCGUCUGUGAAAUUCCGGGGCUUAACUCCGGGCGUGCAGGCGAUACGGGCAUAACUUGAGUGCUGGAGGGGAGACUGGAAUUCCUGGUGUAGCGGUGAAAUGCGCAGAUAUCAGGAGGAACACGGAUGGCGAAGGCAGGUCUCUGGGCAGUAACUGACGCUGAGGAGCGAAAGCAUGGGUAGCGAACAGG